UACGUAGGGACCAAGCGUUGUCCGGAUUCAUUGGGCGUAAAGAGCUCGUAGGCGGUUCAGUAAGUCGGGUGUGAAACCUCCAGGCUCAACCUGGAGACGCCACCCGAUACUGCUGUGACUAGAGUCCAGUAGGGGAGCGUGGAAUUCCUGGUGUAGCGGUGAAAUGCGCAGAUAUCAGGAGGAACACCAGCGGCGAAGGCGGCGCUCUGGGCUGGAACUGACGCUGAGGAGCGAAAGCGUGGGGAGCGAACAGG
rnacentral:rRNA from 1 species